UACGUAGGGUGCAAGCGUUGUCCGGAAUUAUUGGGCGUAAAGCGCACGUAGGCGGAUCGUUAAGUCGGGGGUGGAAAUCCUGGAGCUCAACUCCCGAACUGCCUCGAUACUGGCGAUCUUGAGUCCGGAAGGAAGGUGAGUGGGAACUCCUAGUGUAGAGGUGGAAUUCGUAGAUAUUAGGAAGAACACCAGUGGCGAAGGCGGCGUGCUGGCAGUAGCUGACACUGAGGCGCGACAGCGUGGGGAGCAACAGGAUAGAAACCUAGUAGUC
rnacentral:rRNA from 1 species